UUUUUCCUUCCUUCCCUCUCUCCCUCCCUCCUAGUCCUCCCAGGGUGUGAGUUAAUAGAUCAUAGUUGGAAACAAGGGGUUAUAUUUUUUUCCUAAAAGAGUCUAGUCUACAGUGUGAGUGGAGCUGGAGCAGGGACCACGCCUGCCUGUGCAGGGCCUCUUGAUUUUUAGGCCAGCAGAGUUGUGGGGAAGUGGCUUGGCCAGCGGACAACUUGGCGAUGGGAUAGGGAUGGUGAGACAGCCUGAGCCGGCAGCCCUUCUAGCCCACAUUCAGGCUAACAGCUCCAGCCUGCUGCUGUAAUUGCUUUCACAUGCUCAUGUUUCACCUCCACUGCUCCUUCUGCCGCUGCUGCUGCCGCUGCUGCCCUCCCACUCCCACUCCUUGCUCUUUAACGCCGAGACUAGGGUUAUUUGUGAGAUUCUGUUGAUUAAGUUCCAGAAGUUCAGUCAGAAGUGCACAUGCAGUAUACAUUCUGUCGUAAAAUCUUGCAAGCAAGCAAUUUAUUUCACAUCAAUGUGAGUGAGGUUCUCCUCUAUUGACCCACUAAGUGAGAGCCCGCUGGUAUUUCAAUCAUCCACCUCUCCCACCGUGAGAGUCGUCUGACUUCGGCCGGAGGCCACUUCCCAGAUGGACCUGGCCUGUCUUGGCUGUGUGCUUAGGGUCGUUGUCCUGUUGGAAGGUGAACCUUCGCCCCAGUCUGAGGUCCUGAGCACGCUGGAGCAGGUCUGCCCCAACUCAACCAACUGCAGCUCUUUUCAGAGAGAGUUGGGAGGAAGUCUGGGAAUCCUGUCAGGCAGCGUCUCAGUCACCGCUUGAACUCAUCUGUGAAGGCUGGGCCUACCACGCAGGCAGCUUCUCAGUCACUGCUGAAUCCAUCUGUGAAGGCAGGGCCUACCAUGCAGACAGCGUCUCAGUCACCGCGGAACUCAUCUGUGAAGGUUGGGCCUACCACGCAGGCAACGAACACAUCCAUAUGUUACAAGCACCAUAUAAAUAACAAAUUGUGAUUUAAGUGUUGAGAGGAGCCAAAUGUUUGUUGGACGGGUUGACAUUAAAGUGGAAGAACGUCAAGGUAGGAAACCAAUCAAGCCUGGACUCCAUCUGCUUUUAAUGCUCUGAGAGAAACAUCUUCCAGCUGCUCUUCAGCCUUUUCCAGGGAUUGUAAUUUAGAGUGAAAAAAACACACAGCUCUUUCCGUUGCCCAUGCCAGCAGCCCAACCCAAGUCUGUUGGGGGAGGGGGGUAGUUUAGAUGAUAUAACUGGCAACUGUUGCCAUGUCUUACAGAAUACCCCAUGAUUUUUAGUAGUGUAAAUUGUUAGCCAUAAGUGAGAAAUUUGUCAGAUUUCUUUGUAAUUUAUAUUGACAUUCACAUAUAAUUCACCGCUAAAAAGAGUAAUCUUGUUGCCUCAAAGAAAAUCUAACAACUGAGUUGAUUGAGUAUGCUACUAAACAUGCCUCUUAUACACUGAACAAAAAUAUAAACGCAACAUGUAAACUGUUGGUGCCUUGUUUCAUGAGCAGAAAUAAAAGAUCCCAGAAUGUU